GUGGUUGGGUAGAGAAUACCAAGGCGCUUGAGAGAACUCGGGUGAAGGAACUAGGCAAAAUGGCACCGUAACUUCGGGAGAAGGUGCGCCGGUGAGGGUGAAGGACUUGCUCCGUAAGCUCAUGCCGGUCGAAGAUACCAGGCCGCUGCGACUGUUUAUUAAAAACACAGCACUCUGCAAACACGAAAGUGGACGUAUAGGGUGUGACGCCUGCCCGGUGCCGGAAGGUUAAUUGAUGGGGUUAGCUAACGCGAAGCUCUUGAUCGAAGCCCCGGUAAACGGCGGCCGUAACUAUAACGGUCCUAAGGUAGCGAAAUUCCUUGUCGGGUAAGUUCCGACCUGCACGAAUGGCGUAACGAUGGCGGCGCUGUCUCCACCCGAGACUCAGUGAAAUUGAAAUCGCUGUGAAGAUGCAGUGUAUCCGCGGCUAGACGGAAAGACCCCGUGAACCUUUACUAUAGCUUUGCACUGGACUUUGAAUUUGCUUGUGUAGGAUAGGUGGGAGGCUUUGAAGCGUGGACGCCAGUCUGCGUGGAGCCAUCCUUGAAAUACCACCCUGGCAACUUUGAGGUUCUAACUCAGGUCCGUUAUCCGGAUCGAGGACAGUGUAUGGUGGGUAGUUUGACUGGGGCGGUCUCCUCCUAAAGAGUAACGGAGGAGUACGAAGGUGCGCUCAGACCGGUCGGAAAUCGGUCGUAGAGUAUAAAGGCAAAAGCGCGCUUGACUGCGAGACAGACACGUCGAGCAGGUACGAAAGUAGGUCUUAGUGAUCCGGUGGUUCUGUAUGGAAGGGCCAUCGCUCAACGGAUAAAAGGUACUCCGGGGAUAACAGGCUGAUACCGCCCAAGAGUUCAUAUCGACGGCGGUGUUUGGCACCUCGAUGUCGGCUCAUCACAUCCUGGGGCUGAAGCCGGUCCCAAGGGUAUGGCUGUUCGCCAUUUAAAGUGGUACGCGAGCUGGGUUUAGAACGUCGUGAGACAGUUCGGUCCCUAUCUGCCGUGGACGUUUGAGAUUUGAGAGGGGCUGCUCCUAGUACGAGAGGACCGGAGUGGACGAACCUCUGGUGUUCCGGUUGUCACGCCAGUGGCAUUGCCGGGUAGCUAUGUUCGGAAUAGAUAACCGCUGAAAGCAUCUAAGCGGGAAACUAGCCUCAAGAUGAGAUCUCACUGGAACCUUGAGUUCCCUGAAGGGCCGUCGAAGACUACGACGUUGAUAGGUUGGGUGUGUAAGCGCUGUGAGGCGUUGAGCUAACCAAUACUAAUUGCCCGUGAGGCUUGACCAU
rnacentral:rRNA from 1 species